rnacentral:tRNA from 1 species
GGAGAGGUGUCCGAGCGGUUGAUGGUGCCGGUCUUGAAAACCGGUGUACGUAACGUACCGUGGGUUCGAAUCCCACCCUCUCCG